GGUAAACGCUGGCGGCGUGCCUAAAACAUGCAAGUCGAACGCGCACCUUCGGGUGCGAGUGGCAGACGGCUGAGUAACGCGUGGGUGACCGACCUCGAAGUGGGGAAUAACUGCCCGAAAGGGUGGCUAAUACCGCGUGUGCUCUGGUCUUCGGUGACCAGAGGAAAGAUCUUCGGAUCGCUUCGUGAGGGGCCCGCGUCCGAUUAGCUUGUUGGUGAGGUAACGGCCCACCAAGGCGGUGAUCGGUAGCUGGUCUGAGAGGAUGAUCAGCCAGACUGGGACUGAGAGACGGCCCAGACUCCUACGGGAGGCAGCAGUUAGGAAUUUUGGGCAAUGGGCGAAAGCCUGACCCAGCAACGCCGCGUGGGUGACGAAGGCCUUCGGGUUGUAAAGCCCUUUUCUCGGGGAAGAUGAUGACGGUACCCGAGGAAGAAGCACCGGCUAACUACGUGCCAGCCGCCGCCGUAAUAC
rnacentral:rRNA from 1 species